rfam:Dipodomys ordii contig_4694, whole genome shotgun sequence.
GGGAAGGUGGCUCAGUGGUAGAGCACUUGCCUUGUAUGCAUGAGGCCCUGGAUUCAAUUCCUCAGCACCCCA